GUUGUUAGAAGUACUAACAAUACCACCUGCCCGGUGGUAAACAGCUGCAGUAAUCUGACUGUGCAAAGGUAGCAUAAUACGUCGCCUCUUAAUUGGUGGCUGGAAUCAAUGGUAGGACGGGGUCUGAUGUUUUAGAUCUUGAAAUUUAAUUAGAAGUAAGAAUGCUUCUAUUAACCCUUGGGACGAUUAGACCCUAGGAGCUCUCAGUGCCUGUUGGAUGGGGCAUCGAUGGAAGAGGAAGAUCUUUAUUUAAGCUACCCUAGGGAUAACAGCGUAGUGUAGAGUUGGAGUGCUUAUUCGGCUUUAUGUUCGCGACCUCGAUGUUGAAUUGUAAGGUGCAGGGGCUUUAGUCUGUUCGACUACCAAGCAUACACA
rnacentral:rRNA from 1 species